rnacentral:rRNA from 1 species
GACGAACGCUGGCGGCGUGCUUAACACAUGCAAGUCGUACGGUAAGGCCCUUUCGGGGGUACACGAGUGGCGCACGGGUGAGUAACACGUGAGUAACCUGCCCACAACUUUGGGAUAACGCUAGGAAACUGGUGCUAAUACUGGAUAUGUGCUCCUUCUGCAUGGUGGGGGUUGGAAAGCUCCGGCGGUUGUGGAUGGACUCGCGGCCUAUCAGCUUGUUGGUGGGGUAGUGGCCUACCAAGGCGGCGACGGGUAGCCGGCCUGAGAGGGUGACCGGCCACAUUGGGACUGAGAUACGGCCCAGACUCCGACGGGAGGAAGCAGUGGGGAAUAUUGCACAAUGGGCGCAAGCCGGAUGCAGCAACGCCGCGUGCGGGAUGACGGCCUUCGGGUUGUAAACCGCUUUCAGCAGGGACGAAGCUUUUUGUGACGGUACCUGCAGAAGAAGCACCGGCUAACUACGUG